rnacentral:rRNA from 1 species
UACGGAGGGUGCGAGCGUUGUCCGGAAUCACUGGGCGUAAAGGGCGCGUAGGCGGCUUGGCAAGUGGAUGGUGAAAUCCCUCGGCUUAACCGAGGAACGGCCGUCCAAACUGCUUCGCUUGAGACCGGGUGAGGUGAGUGGAAUUCCCAGUGUAGCGGUGAAAUGCGUAGAUAUUGGGAGGAACACCAGUGGCGAAGGCGGCUCACUGGACCGGUACUGACGCUGAAGCGCGAAAGCGUGGGGAGCAAACGGG